rnacentral:lncRNA from 1 species
GAUGGGAGUCCUUCCUUUCAAUAUUGAGGCUUUUGUGACCUAUAAAAAAUCAAAAUAGCCAUUUUAAGACAUACUAGAGGAAGAAUUGAAUAUAAGUUUGAUAAUUUUAAUUAUUAAAAUAAAAUAAAAAUAAAGCUAAUAGUCUAAAAAUAAUAAUAUAAAAAAAUAUAAAAUAUAAAAUCAUAUCUAUCGUGGACACC